CCUACGGGGCGCAGCAGUCGAGAAUCAUUCACAAUGGGGGAAACCCUGAUGGUGCGACGCCGCGUGGGGGAAUGAAGGUCUUCGGAUUGUAAACCCCUGUCAUGUGGGAGCAAAUUAAAAAGAUCGUACCACAAGAGGAAGAGACGGCUAACUCUGUGCCAGCAGCCGCGGUAAUACAGAGGUCUCAAGCGUUGUUCGGAAUCACUGGGCGUAAGGCGUGCGUAGGCUGUUUCGUAAGUCGUGUGUGAAAGGCGCGGGCUCAACCCGCGGACGGCACAUGAUACUGCGAGACUAGAGUAAUGGAGGGGGAACCGGAAUUCUCGGUGUAGCAGUGAAAUGCGUAGAUAUCGAGAGGAACACUCGUGGCGAAGGCGGGUUCCUGGACAUUAACUGACGCUGAGGCACGAAGGCCAGGGGAGCGAAAGGGAUUAGAUACCCGAGUAGUC
rnacentral:rRNA from 1 species